GGAGGAGUGGCUGAGCGGUUGAAAGCGGCGGUCUUGAAAACCGUUGUCCUCGCAAGGGGACCGUGGGUUCGAAUCCUACCUCCUCCGCCA
rnacentral:tRNA from 1 species